GGCCAUAGCUCAGUGGUAGAACACCUGUUUUGCAUGCAGAAGGUCCCAGGUACCAUCCUUGGGAUCUCUA